rnacentral:rRNA from 1 species
CCUACGGGCGGCAGCAGUGAGGAAUAUUGGUCAAUGGACGAGAGUCUGAACCAGCCAAGUAGCGUGAAGGAUGACUGCCCUAUGGGUUGUAAACUUCUUUUAUAUGGGAAUAAAACGUUCCACGUGUGGGAUUUUGUAUGUACCAUAUGAAUAAGGAUCGGCUAACUCCGUGCCAGCAGCCGCGGUAAUACGGGGGAUCCGAGCGUUAUCCGGAUUUAUUGGGUUUAAAGGGAGCGUAGGUGGAUUGUUAAGUCAGUUGUGAAAGUUUGCGGCUCAACCGUAAAAUUGCAGUUGAAACUGGCAGUCUUGAGUACAGUAGAGGUGGGCGGAAUUCGUGGUGUAGCGGUGAAAUGCUUAGAUAUCACGAAGAACUCCGAUUGCGAAGGCAGUUCACUGGACUGCAACUGACACUGAGGCUCGAAAGUGUGGGUAUCAAACAGGAUUAGAUACCCCUGUAGUC